GUCACGCCAGUGGCACAGCUGGGUAGCUAUGUGCGGACGGGAUAAGCGCUGAAAGCAUCUAAGCGUGAAGCCCCCUUCAAGAUGAGACUUCCCAUAGCGCAAGCUAGUAAGACCCCUUAUAGACGAUAAGGUUGAUAGGUUCGGUGUGGAAGUGCAGUAAUGCAUGGAGCUGACGAAUACUAAUCGGUCGAGGACUUAUCCAC
rnacentral:rRNA from 1 species